rnacentral:rRNA from 1 species
GAUGAACGCUGGCGGCGUGCCUAAUACAUGCAAGUCGAGCGAACAGACGAGGAGCUUGCUCCUCUGACGUUAGCGGCGGACGGGUGAGUAACACGUGGAUAACCUACCUAUAAGACUGGGAUAACUUCGGGAAACCGGAGCUAAUACCGGAUAAUAUAUUGAACCGCAUGGUUCAAUAGUGAAAGACGGUUUUGCUGUCACUUAUAGAUGGAUCCGCGCCGCAUUAGCUGGUUGGUAAGGUAACGGCUUACCAAAGCAACGAUGCGUAGCCGACCUGAGAGGGUGAUCGGCCACACUGGAACUGAGACACGGUCCAGACUCCUACGGGAGGCAGCAGUAGGGAAUCUUCCGCAAUGGGCGAAAGCCUGACGGAGCAACGCCGCGUGAGUGAUGAAGGUCUUCGGAUCGUAAAACUCUGUUAUUAGGGAAGAACAAAUGUGUAAGUAACUAUGCACGUCUUGACGGUACCUAAUCAGAAAGCCACGGCUAACUACGUG